UGGGGGAUAUUGCACAAUGGGCGAAAGCCUGAUGCAGCGACGCCGCGUGGGGGAUGAAGGCCUUCGGGUUGUAAACUUCUUUUGCUCUGAACAAGGCAUGCCUUUGGGGUGUGUUGAGUGUAGGGGUUGAUUAGCGCCGGCUAACUACGUGCCAGCAGCCGCGGUAAUACGUAGGGCGCGAGCGUUGUCCGGAAUUAUUGGGCGUAAAGGGCUUGUAGGUGGCUGGUUGCGUCUGUCGUGAAAGCUCAUGGCUUAACUGUGGGUUUGCGGUGGGUACGGGCUGGCUUGGGUGCAGGAGGGGAGGCUGGAAUUCCUGGUGUAGCGGUGGAAUGCGCAGAUAUCAGGAGGAAUACCGGUGGCGAAGGCGGGUCUCUGGGCUGUUACUGACGCUGAGGGGCGAAAGCGUGGGGAGCGAACAGG
rnacentral:rRNA from 1 species